CACCGAACACGUGAUGGCAGUGGUGCCAAAACCUGCCUCAACAUUGUGCAGUAGCGACAAGUGGAACGGUGUCGGCGUGAUUAUUACUAGGCGCAGAGGUAGGUGCGGUGGGCGCUGUGGGGUCGGUCUUUUGGUCACAGUGCGUACAGAGUUGAAAUGCUAUUAUCAGUUAUAAUGGCUGGAAUAUGUAACAAUAACGCUGCUGCUGUUCGGCAGGUAUGUAGCAGGUGCAGCGCGGCAAUUUCGCCGUUAACAGUGCACGAACGCUGCAGAAGUUAACAGCGCACUGUAAAGCGCCGAUUGCAAUUAUGUUAUAGCCGCGCUUGUUGGACACUUAUUCGGCAAGACAUUCAACAGAAGGUGUUAUCAUUUCACAGCGAGCGGACGUAUACGACGGAGCCGCAAUAAAAUGUGCGCGCAUUUACCGUUUAAAGAAUUGGAGUUCUUAAAGAUAUUUAAAGAUAUCUAAAUAAAAAUGUAUCAAUGAAACUAUCAAAACGUCAAUUUUUACCAAAAAAUGUGAAGUUGGAAGUAUUAUGAAACUACUAAAAGCUCUAUUUCUACUAAAAAAUGUGAAGGUGAAUGUACUAAAACAACCAAAAAAUCACUUUUUACCAAGAAAUCUAAGAUACUUUUUGUGAAAAACAUUUUUUGAAAAAUAUUUUGUGAAAACAUACAAUAAAUAUACCAAAAAAUAAAUCAAAAUCGCUUAAAGGAGUACCAUCAGAAAUAAGACGGUUAAACAACAAAAGUCAAGGUAGAAAUAAGCACUUCUAAAUAAAUGGAGCAGAAAGUGAAAGAGCAUAUGGAAAGUAAAACAGGCAGUAUAAAAGCAAAGUGGACAAAAAAACAAAAAUCAAUAAAAAAAUAUAACGACAACGAUUCGAAUAAUAAGCGGCAAUAAGUAGUGGUGCAACAAAAAAAUAUAAUUAUUAUUGCAAACAAAAAAAUUAAAUUAAAAAAACAUACCCUUUUAAAAGCGCUUUUAAAACUACAGCAUUGCCUGCUUUUAGGCGCACAUUACAAUAAUCAUAAAUACUUAAUAGCUUACGCCCCACUCAAAAAGCGCUACAUAAUGCUUUGUAAAAAUGGCAGCGCCUUAAAUUUACGAAAAGAAGAAGUGAGCUGUCACAGCGAAUAACGGUAAGCGGCGAAGUAAAACUUUCGGCCAACAUUAAAGUUUGUGAAGCAUUAAAGAGUGCAGCAGAGCAUGGCAUUAGAGCGCGCGACAGCAGUGUGAGCAAAAGUGUAUAAGUGUUGAGACUUAAAGUGACCAGUGGAAAGUGCGAAGUGAAGGAAAAGGUGCGUAAAAGUGUAAGUGAAAAGUGAAUUGAAGUGUGUAUCGAAUUAAGGUCAUAGUUCAAAAUGUGAAAAUAAAAAAAGGAAAAUAUAAAAAGCGAAAUUUUCCAAAAGUGUCAAA